ensembl:lncRNA
GACAAGAGCAACUUUACAUUGUGAUUGGAAACUUAAUUAGAGCUAGAAGUACUUUUGGGUUUCCCAUACAUAAAUCAACCAGUCGGAUCAUGUUCAUCAAUCAACAUGUUAGCUGUCAAGUUGCUUACACUUGUGUCAGUGACACAGCACUUAAAGGUACCAUGGUGAUUGUAUUCUGUGUAACUGAAAAAAUCUGUUAAAUUUUGCUUAACACUACUCACAAGGCACGGCUAGUGGUCAGAAUAACAGCUAAUAUUAAUAUUUAUAUGUAAUGUUCUUUUACUUUAACCAACCCAAAAAGUGACUUUACAGAUCUGUGUUUGGGUUUUGGUUUUUGGUUUUUUACCCCUAGUAUUAAAAAUUUUAUCGCUUCUGGGUUUCUUCAAAAAUUGCAACAAAUUAUGAAAUAAUUUACUCUUAAACUAUUCCUAGAAAAACUAAUUGCAAGUAAUUGCCUCACCACAGAGGAAGUCACUUUGGUGUGAAAAUGGUGUUUCUGCAACAAACAAUGUAAGGGAGAUAACCAUUGAGGAAAAAGUUUAAAAAAGUAAUCUAAUAAAAAAAAUAGUGCUUUGUAACAGUUAGACCAAAGAGCCAAUUAAAUCACUUCACAGAUCCACGCAGGUAGACUUGAAAGAACCAAUUUAACUUUUUUUAACUGUUUUUACUAACCCAAGCUAAGUAGCACUAGCUGUAAAUGUAUCUUAGAUUAGCUUAACUUACUGUAGCUCAGAAAUAACAACUAAAGUAAAUAAACUAAAUCCACUAAUAGUCAACUCACACUCAAAUUUAAACUUUGGUCAUCUGUGUAUUAAAAAAAAAAUCAAAAACAAAUUAAAGAGACCAUUUUUAUAGCCCUAGCCUAUGGGCUUUGUAGCAUUUGGACAAAGGCUGCUUGCCUGUUUUUGCUAAGCUAAGGUAACUUGCUGCUGAUUGUACCUUUAGGACACAAAUGAUAUAUAUAUUUCCUAAAAUGUCAAACAAAAGACCGCAUUCUCUGAGGUUUUUGAAAAAAGUGCAAUUAAAAUGGAGCGUCACAGCAUAAAUACAAAAGCAGUAUUGUUAGCAUAUUCUUUCCUGUCUCCGUCCAGCAUUUCCCAUCAAGCGCCAGUAUGUGUGGCUGCAGUGCACACUGUUAACACCCUUGUCAUAGAAAGGUUACAUGCUUUAUCUGCAGUGUUUUUAAAUUAGACACCUCUGUGUGACGACAAAGUGAAACCUAUGAUUAACUCUUAGUUCUGUAAUACAGUUCCACGCCGUCAUGAUAAUGAUAUCUUCUGCUAGGAAAACAGUGUUUUGUUGUCAUAGUGAAGGUUUAGUACUGCAAAUCAGGACUCAGAGCAGUUCCAGUCUUCACAUUCGUGUGUAAGAGGAAUAGUAAGGUGGGUCAACUAGCACACUAAAUAAACCAGUUGUGAUCUGAUCAAUCUAAUCAACAGUUUCGCUAAGAAACUGCACAAGUUAAUGACACUGUAUAGGAGUUUUUGUUUUGCUAUCUGCAUCCUUAGUUCAAAUAGGAAGACAUUUUUAUGCAACCUCUGAGGGUAUUCAAAGCAAAUCUUUAAAAUUCCAAGACACUAGUCAAAGAUCAUUGAAAUGGAAAUAAUCAUGUGUAAAUACAGUUUGCCUUCCCACACCCCUGUGUUUGGAUUGAGAUGUGUCCAUAAAGUACAGCUUUUCUACACAUUUAAAUAUUCAAUGUUAUGCAAAGCUUUUUUUGUUUUGUUUUAAUUACCGUGUACAUGUGUCUUAUCUGCCUUGACUGAGUGAAUUUGAUAUAAAAAGAUGAAGAAAGCCAAACUUCUUGAAGGCGUUGCAUUUUGCUUCACUCUGGCUUGCUCCUUGUCCGCUCAUUGAAGUUAUGACAUGUUCCUGCCUCAGCAUGGUAAAACAAAUCAGGACUGCUGUUGGACUAGAACCAGUUUUAUCUGCCACCUGGAAUAAACUGUGAAAGAUAAAUAAGAGGAAAAAAAAAACAAUGAAUCCAACGUAUCAAUAAACAAGGUGAAUAAAGGAAUCAGAUAAAAGAAGGAA